rnacentral:misc_RNA from 1 species
GAUGAAGAACGCAGCGAAAUGCGAUAAGUAAUGUGAAUUGCAGAAUUCAGCGAAUCAUCGAAUCUUUGAACGCACAUUGCGCCCGCCAGUAUUCUGGCGGGCAUGCCUGUCCGAGCGUCAUUUCAACCAUCAAGCCCCGGGCUUGUGUUGGGGACCUGCGUCCGACGCAGGCCCUGAAAACCAGUGGCGGGCUCGCUGUCCACACCGAGCGUAGUAACUAACCUCGCUAUGGAGUGGCGCGGGCGCCUGCCGUAAAACCCCCAAUUUCACAAGGUUGACCUCGGAUCAGGUAGGAAUACCCGCUGAACUUAAGCAUAUCAAUAAGCGGAGGA